AUUGAACGCUGGCGGCAGGCCUAACACAUGCAAGUCGAGCGGUAGAGAGAAGCUUGCUUCUCUUGAGAGCGGCGGACGGGUGAGUAAUACCUAGGAAUCUGCCUGAUAGUGGGGGAUAACGUUCGGAAACGGACGCUAAUACCGCAUACGUCCUACGGGAGAAAGCAGGGGACCUUCGGGCCUUGCGCUAUCAGAUGAGCCUAGGUCGGAUUAGCUAGUUGGUGAGGUAAUGGCUCACCAAGGCUACGAUCCGUAACUGGUCUGAGAGGAUGAUCAGUCACACUGGAACUGAGACACGGUCCAGACUCCUACGGGAGGCAGCAGUGGGGAAUAUUGGACAAUGGGCGAAAGCCUGAUCCAGCCAUGCCGCGUGUGUGAAGAAGGUCUUCGGAUUGUAAAGCACUUUAAGUUGGGAGGAAGGGCAUUAACCUAAUACGUUAGUGUCUUGACGUACCGACAGAAUAAGCACCGCA
rnacentral:rRNA from 1 species